GUACUUAGUUUCCAUGUCCACAGCAGUCAUAUUGUAGACCAUGUGCUGUACACUUAUUCUGAUGAGGGGUAAUUAAAUUCUUGAUCUGUUUCAAUAUAAUGCAAACCCUCGCUCAGAGCUCACUGGUAUCACGAAGGCGGUUAUCAACCUCCUAUGUUGAACUAGGGUUUCAGCUUCAGGCUCUGCACGUCCCUAUGAAAAGGGGCGUUUGAAAGGGGGGGCGUUUGACCUGUCAUUUGUCUCUGCUUCCAAACGAAAUGGACUGAUCCGCUAACUUUACACAAACGGACUGAUUGCGAACAGCUGACAAAAAAAAGUGUGUCGCUGACUUAAUUCAAGAGGAAGAUUUUGUCAGUCUGAAUUAUCACAAAACAGCCGAAAAAAGAGCCGAAAACAAACGCUUAAGGAGAGUUGAAUGCUGUCAGAAAAUUAGGCUACUGAAUUAAUUAAUUUAUUUUACCGAUCAUUCCCGCAUUGCGUAACAUGAUGCAAUUUAACGGUAAACACAUUCCAUCCGAGGGGAGGCGCUGUGUGAAGAGACCGUGGUCGGAAACUGAAACAAAAGCUGUGAUGAAGCACAUGAAGCCAUACAUUCUGAACGGACUUCUGGUCACGAGCGCUCAAUGUGCAUUCUGCAAAGAACACCCUGCAUUAGAAGGACGCACAAUUCAAAAUAUUCAUGAUUUUGUAAGAAAUAAUGGCCUAAAGAAAAAAUAAGUAGUAUUCACACAUGGAAUAGUUGAUGUUUUGCAGUUGUUUCAAGAAUCAAGCUAAAUUCAGACAAGUUAAGUUACGUUUUUUGGUCGCUGGUGGUUCGCGGUUUUGAGUGACUUACGUUUGAGAUGUGUUCAGUCUGAUUUUAUGAAGCUUUUCUUUGAGAAUUGUCAACACUGCUUUAGUAUCCUCACAAUCCUGUUUGCAGUCUGUGUGUCAACUAGUGUCCUUGAAAUAAAGGCCUAAAGAAUAAAAAAAGAUAUUCACACG
ensembl:lncRNA